CAGUAGUUCUGGAGAGGACGAGCACCGCGGUGGUCCCAUUGUACAGCGACGGCACCUGGUCAGUCUGGCAACGACUUUUGCCGCUAUGUCGGUUGCUAAAGGAGCCCUCGCGACGAAUGG
rnacentral:rRNA from 13 species